AAUUUUAUAUAUAAUAAAACUUAAAAUUUUAAAAUAGCAUUUUUAAAGUAGUAAAAUAUAAAAAAAUGAUAUAGAAUUAUAAAUAUAAAAAAAAUAAAAAAAUAUCAAAUUCACCUCAUUUUUAUAUGAGAACAAAUAUAUAAGUCUUAAUGACAAAAAGUGUCAAUAUAUGAUUAUAAAAGUAAUAAAAUAUAUAAAUAAUAAAAUAUUCCUAAUAUAAUUAUUUGACUUUUGUUUAUUAGUUUAUAUAUUAAAAUUAUUAUAAUAUAUAUAAAUAUAAUAAAUUUAGACCCUUUUCAGACUCGUGCAUUUUACAAAACAAGCGGGUAACAUUUCGAGAAAUUCCGCCCAAAUUUUCACUAACAUUUCCACAGACUUCUCACUCUCCCACUUCGACUCUUCUAUCCCUACCCGUACUAACCUCUCUGCGACUAAUCACCUCUCUCAGUGCUAACCUCUCUGUCCACCUCUCUGUCGCCAGGACUUUCACUCUCUAGUGUUCUUUGUUGGGUUUGCACUUCAAGCCUAUUUUCAAUUAGGGGUUUUGUUUACGUUAUUUCUAAACAAGAUUGUGAAUGUAGCAACUCAAACUCUUACGGAGAAGCUUGCUGUUGAGGCUUGGAGGUUGCUGUGGACUGAGUUCAGGAAAUUGGGUUUUAAGUUUGUGCUUAAUUUAAGGAUGGAAAAAUUAAUUUAUCUCAGAUUCCACCAUAAGGGUGAAUUUCAGAGUACACAAUAUGCUGGUGGGAUAGAGAUUGUUAUAUGGGGUGUUGAUAUUGAAAGAUUUUCAUAUACAAUACUCAUGGAGCAUGUCAAAGAUGAUCUUGAAUAUUCAGAAAUCGGAGGAAUCUAUUUUGGUACAGGGGAGAUUUAAAGUUGCUGACCAGUGUUAUUGAGCUUAACCGAUUAGUUGAUCUAACCGAGGAUGGAAACCAUAUUGAUUUGUACAUUGAUAAUGUCAUUGACACGAGUGUAAAGCCAAUACAAAAACUGCAGCCGCAUGUGGUCAUGAGGCCAAGACCUAAUCUAGUUGCAGCUAAAAAACAACCUAAGCGUCAAUUCACCACGGCUCAUCAACUAUUGCUACAACAACAGCAGAAGAACAAAAAAGCAAAGUUAUUGGGUUCAGAUCAGAAAUGGCCACAAGGUACUAGGAAGUCGCCACGAGUCAAUAAAUUAGUAGAAAGCAAUGAUAAACCUCUGACUUCUAAGCCUGACUGCCAAAAGAAAAUUGGAUUUGAGCAAACAACAUGAAGACGAAACAAUGGGAGAAAAUGAGGUUGAGAGUGCAAAGAUAAUCUUACCUCCACCACCACCUCUAACAGAGUAUGAAAGACAAAGGGCUAUAAGAGUUCAGAUGAAUUAUGAAUUUCUCUCCGCUCUAAAAUUACCUACACUAGCAGCAGGAAUAGUAAAAAAGGAUAAAAGACGCAAGAGUAAUGAGAAGGCCCAAGAUGGAAGUGAAAAUUAUGAUCCCGAACAUGAUUCUCUUAGUGAUGGGUCAGUGACUCCAC